rnacentral:rRNA from 1 species
AUUGAACGCUGGCGGCAGGCCUAACACAUGCAAGUCGAACGAGUGGCGGACGGGUGAGUAAUGUCUGGGAAACUGCCUGAUGGAGGGGGAUAACUACUGGAAACGGUAGCUAAUACCGCAAACCAUCAGAUGUGGCCAGAUGGGAUGAGCGAGUGGGUGGGGUAAUGGCUCACCUAGGCGACGAUCCCUAGCUGGUCUGAGAGGUUGACAGGCCACACUGGAACUGGGAAACGGGCCAGACUCCUACGGGAGGCAGCAGUGGGGAAUAUUGGACAAUGGGCGCAAGCCUGAUGCAGCCAUGCCGCGUGUGUGAAGAAGGCCUUCGGGUUGUAAAGCACUUUCAGCGAGGAGGCGUUACUCGCAGAAGAAGCACCGGCUAACUCCGUGCCAGCCGCCGCGGUAAUUC